UUGAUUGUUUGACUUUGAACAUGGUUGAUGGAUUUUUUUUUUGAGAAAGUUUUGAGUUUUUUUUAGAAAUGAGGAAAGAGAAGGGCUUUGGCGCAACUUAAGCUCUAAUACCAUCCGUAGAUGCAUCUCCGAAAUAAGUUUGAAGAUGUAUCUCCAAAAUGUUUUAAUGUUAAGUCUGAAUUCUAUGUACUUAGGGUGCGUCCG
rnacentral:lncRNA from 1 species